CCUGCCUAAAAGGUACCCACCAAGUCCUUUUUCUCUUUGCAUUCAAGAUGACAGAGGGACGCCCGCGCGGACGGGCUUCGUUGACUGUGCAACAGCGCCGCCUAGAGGCCAGAUGCCUUGAGGGCGGCCAGCACCCAGAGCUGCCUCCAAUCAAGUUCCCCUUUGUUUUGCUUAUCUGGGAGCUAUCAGUGCGUGACCGAGAACUGCCUCGGAGAAUGUGGGGUGUGUUUGAGAACCAUAAUCUAAAGCCCUAAGUUCUGAGUUCUUCGCUUCCCACCUUCUACGGCUCAUGGGCCUUAGUUUUUUGUGUUUUUUCUUUUGGACACUUAAUGAGAGGAGGCUGUUUUGUUUUUUGUUUUUCUCUUAGUCAACAAAUCAUAGCAACAAACUUACUCAUUGGUCACAAGCCUUUGGUGGCUUUUCGUUUGAGAGGAGAAAAUCCCGGAAAAGAUUUGGUGAGUCUUCAACCUGCACGGUUUACACUUUGUCCUCGGUGGAUACCCUUUUGGAAGAAGAAACAUGUGAAGAUCCCUCGGUUGUGUGCCCUUGGGAGUGGUGAGCAGGAAAGGGAUGGAGUGUUCCCAGGCCUUUACACAGCAGAUAAGAAAUGGAGUUAGCAUUAACAGCAAAAUGUAGAUUCAUACGUCUACAAGAUACCUUGCACUCUGUAAUCACGUUCGGAACAAUCACAGGCUGACUGAUUACUGAUAAAAUGUUAGUUGAAAAAUGGUUGCAAUUCUUGACUUUCAGCAUUCACACCAAUGAGAUUGAAGAACCAAUAACCCAGGGAAAAUAAUAACAGACCAAACAAUAGUUCUGUCAUGAUAAAGUAGGUACUUGCUUAGAAUUGAUGGUUGGGUAAAACUGAGAAGGAAGUAUGUCUGUCCUGACCCCUGGUAUCUUCUUCAGCUUGCUUCUCUCUUCCCAGGAGCCACACUUCGCAUCUUCUCUCAAUGUUUCCUUCCGAGAAUAUGUCUUCUUUUUAUCCUGAGCUACAAUCUCCAUCUUCUCUCCUCCCCCAUCUUCCCAACUUACAGUUAAGAAUAAAGCCUUGGGAUUCCUCUCUCAUUUUCUAUUUUGAUUGAACUGAAACCAUGGCAGCUUUUUCUACUUGUGUGUGUGUGUGUGUGUGUGUGUGUGUGUGUGCGCACGUGUGUACCAUUAAGCACAAGUAUACAGAGCCUUUCUUAACAUGCCAUAGGAUACCCUCACUAUUUCCUUGACUAUCAUGUUUUCAAUUUGAUUUAUUUGUGACCCUCCAGAAGAAUCUUCUGUGUGGAUUCUGUUGGUUUUGUUGAGCCCAUUAUGCACAGAGACAAUCUGUGCAAAUAAUGUUCUCGGCAGAAUGGUGUCUCCUCAAUAGGCUUCAUAACUGUCCGUCACUUUGACCGGCUUUAUCUUGGGAGUCGGUCACUGUGGGAUAGUUUAUUUUCUUAGAAUCAUAUGAAAAUUUGAAAACAUAUGAAGAAUUAGAACCAAUGCACAAUUUACAAUGUUAUCAAUAGUAAAAGGCAAGUACCUUUAAAAAGCAACUGAAGACCUCAUAGGAUAUCAAAAAUCUUGAAUUACAUAAGGAUAAGUAAAAAAAAUCGAGUAAGAAGGGAAUCAUGCAAGUAUGAUUGGUAUUCUAAAUUUUACUUUGCAGGCUAGAAUAAAACCUGGAAACAAAGACAACAAUUUUAAAACAAACCAUCUAAAUCAAAUUAUCAUCCAGAAUGAGGACUCAUUAGACUGUGACCGGGGCCUGCACAGCUAUUAAAUGAACAUAGCAGCAAUGCUUAGAAAAAGACAGCUGUACAGACGUCACCAAAAUCUCACAGUUUACUAUUGUGCCCUAGAAGUGUUGGGAACCAUGAAUAUGUUCAUAAACUGGACUUCAGCCAGCGGUGCUGGUGAUAAUCAUCUUGACAGAAGUGUAAUCUCGAGCUGUCCUUGCUGAAUUGGUGGCUGAACGCAACAGACUAGCAACGGAGUAUGAAGUGGGUGAAAAGCAAAAAGCACAACCAGAAAAUGGAAGCAUGGUGAUAUUCCAUUGCCUGAGGGCAGUAAUGAAAGCACUGGGAUUCUUCGGAAGACAAUGCUGCCCCACAAAGAAGGACCCGAAACCUGUAGAGAGCCGUUCUGGAAACUACAUUAAAGCAGACACGUAAUAGCUCAAGGUAAUAGCAUUCAUGUUCCAAAUGGAAGGAUGUUAGAAGAUGGCCGACACUUUCAAGUCUGAUCCUGGAGCCUGAACCAGGUCGUAUCUUCCUGGAGCUCCCUCUGGGAUGAGGGUGUGAGAAGCAGUCUACCCUGAGACUUGAUAGCUCUCCAUUUGCGGCCCCUGGCUCCCCUGUCCAUAUCUCCUUGUCACAGACACUCUGCUGAACUAAAACACAUGCCACCGAACUUUCCGCUGCCGCUAGAAGGUGCCACCCAGUUGACCCGGUUUUUGUUCUGGAAGCUACCUCUGUACAGUACAAUAUUUCUUUCUAAUGUUCUCCCGCCCACCUCAAGGCUCAAUCAUGGCUCUCAGGCCCUUUCAUUAUUAUAAACACCAUUAAAGGAAGGAAUUAGGUCAGCUUUUCUGUAUAGACCAAUUGCUGCUGUUUUAUUAUCCUUUAUAGACAGAGGACAGAGACAAUUCUGGGCAUGUCCAAUUAUGCACUGUGUUGUGUCAUAUUUACUCUAGGGUAACUGAAAGAAUUAGUUGAAAUGAGUUUGCUGAUCUCUACUGACUAGUACUGCACACAUUUUUCCAGAGUUUUAACUGGUAAAGAAGAGGCAGGAGGCGGGGAACAUUUGAAAAUGCAUUAACAGUCUUCUAAAGAGGUGGUAGUUUUCUCUUCUGUAUAUGCAGGACAAUACCCCUUAAGGAACCUGCUCAAUUCUUAGCUAACAGAACAACUCAUGGUAAUCUCGGUUUUCCCCGUCUGUGUGGAAUCCAUUACGGAGACAUCCAGUACUCAUUUGGAAGACAUUUGAAAAUGAAGAAGGGGGAUUUGCCUCUUUCUCUCUCCCAGCCAGGUUAACUGCAGGUUGGUUCUGCCUUUCUGCCAAGGCCUGCAGUUCGCACUGGGCACCAAGGACUCUGCUAGGAUCUUGUAAUGCUGCCUUUCCCUCCCUGGUGGGG